AUUUUCCCUACGUUGUGACUUUUGCGUAACGUUUCACCAACGACGAAAGAAAUCUCCUUACUCGACGAUGGAAGCGAAAAUACCACGGCAGCGGGAUGGACUAAAUGCACUAACAGCAGUUUGGAUCACACAAAAAGGAAACAGCUGAUCCGUACAACACUGUACAUGCGGAACAGCGGAAAAUGAACCUAACUUUUGGUAGCAACAUAACAGCGUACUAGAUGCCUACAGUGACACUUCGCUUAUCUACUUCAACAUCACCGUCUCCUUGAAAUAACACAUUUCAAAACAAAACAAAACAAUUUCGCAAAUCAUCCAGAUUGGGCCGGUUGUGGGUUGGUGGCCAGCAGCUAAUUGUCGUCGUCGUCUCCUGAUGCAGCAGCGAAAUCCGGCAGCAAACAGAUUUUAGUGAUCGGACGGCUG